CUAGGCUUGCGCGCGGGCCAGGCUCGCAGCGACAGGGUCGAUGCGCGCUUCUGUCGACGAAAAGGAGAGGCGGGUCGCUCGUGGGCUAGGCCCAGUGCGGAUGGAUCGAGCUGCGAGGUGAAAACACCACCAAUCCCGUGCGUCUUCGAGCAGCCAAUCCAGCCCCGCUCCCCUCCCUCUCCACGGCGCCGCCGCCUCCUCCCCUUCUGCCCUGCUCUCCACCGCGCUGCCGCCUCCUCCCUUAUGCUCCCCACCGCGCCGCCUCUUCCUCCCCUUCACUGUUCUCUCCAGCGGCGGCAAAGAUCUGGCGGCAAAGGGAGACGACGAGGGCGCUCGAUCCGAUCUGCUGAAGACAAGGAAGGAGAGGAGGGAGAAAGAGAGAGGAAAGAGGAGAGGGAGGUGUGGUGGCGGAUGAGAGAGGGUCACCGGAAGGAGCGUGACGACCUGCAGGCAAAGGGCGGCGGCGGCGCCGCUCGAUUUGAUCUGCGGGAGAGAGAAGAUGAGAGGGGGAGGGAGAGGGAGAGAGAGAAGGAAGGAGAGGAGAGGAGAGAGAAAGAGAGAGGAGAAAGGAGAGGAGGGGGGCGACGGCGGUCGGGAGAGGAUCACCGGAAGGAGUGCCGCCGGCUCAUCGUCUUUCAUACCUACCCAUGCAGCUGCCGGCUGCAGGGGUGUUGCAAGGAGUUAGAGGUCGUGCGCUGGCCGGAGCAGCAGGAGCAAGGAUAUGGCCGCCUCUCUUCUCUGCCACGGUUCCCUCCUCUUCCUUCAGCUCUCGAGAUGUCGACCUGCAGGUUAAGGCAAACCAUUGUUUGACAACAAAUAUGCGGAGGCGUUUUUAUGAAUGUGCAUUUCACCUGAAUCUGGAGAGCUAUUUUAUCUGUCGCGGACAUUUUUGGUGGAAUUCAAUGCUUUAGCAGCUUGGGAGCAAGUAGAAAUACCUGAUUUGAUGCUCAUGCUUCCAAUUUUUUCACAUUUCGCGAGAGCUAGGCGUACUUCUCGAUGACCUUGCCGUCUCCAACCCAUCCGAUUAUUAUGGAUUUUCUGAAGGUGGUGGUGGGGGUUGCAUGGCAUGUUCCGUCUGGUUUCAGCCAUGGCUCCUUAGAGAGCUGGACAUGCUUGGUUGGAGUCGUCGUCGUCCUGGUUGGGGAGAUGAGCAUGCUUAUGCUUAUCUAACAUAUAAAGCCUCCUAGAUAGUUCCGAGGAAGCACUCAACCUAGACGUCGCCCCUAAAUCACUGCUGCCACCGCUUGUAAAUUUUGUGCCCCGCCGAGGGCAUUUUAGUAUUUUCAGCGGGCCAAAAAGGCAGGUAGCGCGGGCAGGAGCGAGACCGCGCAGACUGCGUCUUCCCCACGAACCCUUUCCUGUUUGAAGAGGUGGCCUUUUGUGUGGUACUCAACUGCUAUCCCAGGAAGGGGACAUUCCAAAGAUAUGAAGGGAUAGCCUUUCGUUAAAAACCUGGUCUUUUGUUUGAAAGGGUCUAACUUUUACUGUGAACUACUUAUCAUGAUCUUAUUUUGAAGUGAUGGAUUUUUACAGAUAUUAGGCAGUGCUUGACUUCGGUGGCGUCGCCUUCUGGCAGGUCACGGGGUUAGAGCACAAGAACCUGACACGGUGUUCCAAACUCAGGCGGUCAUGGUCGACCAGAUGUCGAAGGGCUUGGUAGCAACUCUCACGGAGAAAGAGAACAGUUUUCAAGAGAUUCAGUGUAACUGUAAAUUGUCAGACUCACCGGAGGUAUUCAGGAUUACAAAUUUGGCAGAUGCUGUUGCUUGCAAACCCUAGGCCUGGUUCCUGGACUUGGUCGGCCUCCUCGGGGGAUGUAGCUGCGCUCCGGUGUCGACUCCUCGACCAAUGACGCUCCAUCCCAACCCCACCAAUCUUCACCGCUGCUUGACGACAUGGAGCUGAACACCGCUGCAACCAUGGUGGCGCCCCCUCUGACCAAGGGAUUGCGACGCCAGCAAAGCAAAGGAAGAUCCACAACAAAACUGUAUGUGGACUGCUCCGUUACUAUUUCUGCUAGAAAUUCUGAUGUAUAUGUAUAAAAUCUAUUAGUUGUGCGCCACAUGCCGACUUGAGUAGAUCAGAUCAGUUGCCUAAGUAGAUGAGUUGUCAUACACCCAAUAGAUUUUCUGCUUGCCCAUGCCUUUUGCCAACCCGUGUACAAGCUAGCUACUAGAUCAACUGAUUGAUUGUUCUGGUUCAGCACAACACACAUCAGGUAAAGGAACCUCCGUACCAAAUUCAUACAGACUGCUCCCUUAUAAUUUCUGCUCUAAAUUUCAUCAGGGAUUGCGACUCCGUGUUAGGUGUGUGCUGCUUGUCGUAUGUCAGAUCGUUGCCUAAGUAGACUUUUUUGACGAUGGAACAUGCACGUACGUUUGACCAAUUGCUAAUUCCUGCUGGCCAAUGGCCUUGGGCGAAAUGAAACAUGCACAUACUCUUGAUUCAAUUGUUCCUAUGCAUCACAACAUGUCUGAACACCAGAUUAUUUUUCUCAGUGACUAGGAUUUAUAUAGGUAAAUUUUCUUUUAUUUAUAGUUGCAGAUUGCAUAUAUUAGGACUUGCCAACUAGGCAUCCUAACACCGGCUACAACUUGGACUCGCAAACUACAUCAACAGGCAUGUAUAGGAGUUUGGAAUAUCCAACAUUUUCUUAUUUUUAUUUACUUCAUCCAAUAUCUGGGAACUAAAUGUGGUUCUAGAUUUGAUCCCCCAUGUGACUUUGAAAUAAAUUUUCAUUACCUAUGCAUCUUCAAUUAGUUUUUAGUUCUGUUCUCUAUACAGUUUGCACAGAAUAAUAUGUUAAUGUUAGAUAAUUAUUUAUUAUUUGCACUAGCAAUUUUAGUUCUCCCUUCCACAAUACAAACAACCCAGGAAGGCGAUUUGCUUUAGUUUAGGAUUUUUUAACAAAGAUUCUUUGUCAAAUUAUGCACAUAUCAUAUUCUUCGUUUUAGUUGUCUACUGCUGCACUGUUAUAUUUGGGUUUCAGAUAUUUUCUUUUGUAUAUUGAUAUCUAAUCCCUACAAAUUUUAGUCUCUUACCUUUUGUUUGCUCUGAGGUCAGGUGUAGUUUUUCUUUUGUAUGGCAAAUGAAAUAGAUUCCUCAAGAAACAGGAAAACGCCACUGAACUAGACUGAUAUGCUCAUAAUAUGCUAAUAUGAGAUUGAUCGAUUUACAGUGAACUACAGUAAUGGUAGCAACAAUUAAGUAAGUAAUGGGGACCUCCUAUUGUCCUGCGAUGCCUGUUGGCAAACAUAAGCAAGAACUACAGUAAUGGUAGCAACAAUUAAGUCCCUGGUACAAUGGCGAUGUGCAAUGCUUGAAUUCUACUUUCAUAGUCCGAGAUACAAUGUCUACUGUAGGUAUUGCAUGUUAUUACCUCUUCCAAAUUAAGAAGCCAUUUGAAUAAACUUGAUGGACCUCGAUUAUUAGAUGUUCUGUUUUGCAGGUUAAUAUAAGGUUUAGAAACUAAGACUGCUGUAAAAAGAAACAUGUUCUGAUUCACUCACAUGCAAACCCUCCUAAUUCCAUCCCUCAAACCUCGUGUAACAUAUUUCUAGCGCAUAUAGGUGCUUAUUUUCUGUUUUCUACAUUUUUGGAGUUUCCAUAAAUUUAGUUUGUGCUACGGAUAAUACAUGGUAGUAUAUUAAGUUUGAAUUCAUGAUCAUGUUCUCUCGUCUGCUAUAUAGAAUUUAGUUUGACCUGCAUAAAUCACUUGAAGAGAGGGAUAAAAGGAGAGGGAGAGAGAUGCAUGUUGUGAAGGAGCAAGCCCAUCAAUUCUAAAUAUGAUCCAUGUGCUGAGAAAUUUCUGUUUAAUUCAAUUGUACGGUUAGUACGUUCAUACUUGAUAUACAAGCAGUUUUGUACAUGAAGAAUGCAUGUGCGGAGAGAGGUUUACUUAGGGCAGCUCAAAUCCCAUCUUGAGCUCUAAUAUCUCUGUUAUUAAUUUUGAUUUGAUUGUGUACGUUCACACAGCUGCAAGGUUAAUUCACUGAUCUGUACUUCAAACUUGAUUGUUGAAUUGUACUAAAUUCCAUACUCGGUCUUCCGGUGGCCUCCCUGGGAUGUGACAUCUAAAUAUGUAUUCUUGCCAUCGCAGCAAAAAAAUUGAGAUAUCUCAUAUAUUGGCAAAGCUAAUGCCUGAGAGGGAGCUACCAAACAAGCAUGCUUUAUAUUUGGGACGUGCAGGCUGGAAGGAUCAUUGGUAAUUGAUCCUAUCAAAGGAAGGUGCGAUCUCCAGCCUGAAGGAAUGGCUGGUUGAUUCAGCUAUAGGAAGCAAUCCUGUUCUGCAAUUGAUUGCUGGAAUCGUAUUUAUGCAAGAGCAAGACUACACACGAGGCUGUCAAGCACACACACACACAACGGAAGAACUCUGGACAUUUCAUCAUCUUCUGACACUGGAAGAGGAUGCACUAAGUUAUAAAGUAAUAAAGUAAAACAUGGAUUUCACUUACUUGAGAGAAGAUCUGGCCAUCACAUUGACACUGCUACGUACCAGACUAAAGUUCAACAAAUGAUCAUUCAUCAUCUUCUGAUCAUGGUCUUUGCCGUUUAUGAUGCCAAUUUUGGAGAUACCGUUUGUUCAACUACAUACUA